rnacentral:rRNA from 1 species
CCUACGGGAGGCAGCAGUGAGGAAUAUUGGUCAAUGGACGAGAGUCUGAACCAGCCAAGUAGCGUGAAGGAUGACUGCCCUAUGGGUUGUAAACUUCUUUUAUAUGGGAAUAAAAUGUUCCACGUGUGGGAUUUUGUAUGUACCAUAUGAAUAAGGAUCGGCUAACUCCGUGCCAGCAGCCGCGGUAAUACGGAGGAUCCGAGCGUUAUCCGGAUUUAUUGGGUUUAAAGGGAGCGUAGGUGGAUUGUUAAGUCAGUUGUGAAAGUUUGCGGCUGAACCGUAAAAUUGCAGUUGAAACUGGCAGUCUUGAGUACAGUAGAGGUGGGCGGAAUUCGUGGUGUAGCGGUGAAAUGCUUAGAUAUCACGAAGAACUCCGAUUGCGAAGGCAGUUCACUGGACUGCAACUGACACUGAGGCUCGAAAGUGUGGGUAUCAAACAGGAUUAGAUACCCGUGUAGUC